GAGCACUGUUCGUGACCUGUUACUCGGGCAGUGGCUGACGGGUUCCAUUCCACUGGGACAGCAGUUCCCAUGACACUUGUCUGACUGACUGGUGGCUCUCAGUCUCAGGUCUUGGAGACAAAG
ensembl:snoRNA